rnacentral:rRNA from 1 species
UACGGAGGGGGCUAGCGUUGUUCGGAAUUACUGGGCGUAAAGCGCACGUAGGCGGCUUUGUAAGUUAGAGGUGAAAGCCCGGGGCUCAACCCCGGAAUUGCCUUUAAGACUGCAUCGCUUGAAUCCAGGGGAGGUGAGUGGAAUUCCCAGUGUAGAGGUGAAAUUCGUAGAUAUUGGGAAGAACACCAGUGGCGAAGGCGGCUAACUGGUCCAGCACUGACGCUGAGGUGCGAAAGCGUGGGGAGCGAACAGG